rnacentral:misc_RNA from 1 species
GAUGAAGAACGUAGCGAAAUGCGAUACGUAAUGUGAAUUGCAAAUUCAGUGAAUCAUCGAGUCUUUGAACGCACAUUGCGCCCCCUGGUAUUCCGGGGGGCAUGCCUGUCCGAGCGUCAUUGCUGCCCUCAAGCACGGCUUGUGUGUUGGGCCCCGUCCUCCGAUCCCGGGGGACGGGCCCGGAAGGCAGCGGCGGCACCGCGUCCGGUCCUCGAGCGUAUGGGGCUUUGUCACCCGCUCUGUAGGCCCGGCCGGCGCUUGCCGAUCAACCCAAAUUUUUUAUCCAGGUUGACCUCGGAUCAGGUAGGGAUACCCGCUGAACUUAAGCAUAUCAAUAAGCGGAGGA